rnacentral:tRNA from 1 species
UCUACGGUGGCUCAGAUGGUAAAGCGUCUGCCUACAAUGCAGGAGAUCUGGGUUCGAUCCCUGGGUGGGGAA